rnacentral:rRNA from 1 species
UGGGGAAUAUUGGACAAUGGGCGGAAGCCUGAUCCAGCAACGCCGCGUGAGGGAUGACGGCCUUCGGGUUGUAAACCUCUUUCAGUACCGACGAAGCGAAAGUGACGGUAGGUACAGAAGAAGGACCGGCCAACUACGUGCCAGCAGCCGCGGUAAUACGUAGGGUCCGAGCGUUGUCCGGAAUUAUUGGGCGUAAAGGGCUCGUAGGCGGUUUGUCGCGUCGGGAGUGAAAACAGCGGGCUUAACUCGUUGCUUGCUUUCGAUACGGGCAGACUAGAGGUAUGCAGGGGAGAAUGGAAUUCCUGGUGUAGCGGUGAAAUGCGCAGAUAUCAGGAGGAACACCGGUGGCGAAGGCGGUUCUCUGGGCAUUACCUGACGCUGAGGAGCGAAAGUGUGGGGAGCGAACAGGAUUAGAUACCCUGGUAGUCCACACCGUAAACGUU